GACAAAUAUUGACCAAAAUUAUUUCUUUUCUUUCACAAUUCUUCAAAGUUCUGUUUAUUUGCAGUUGAUUCAUCCAAAUCAUUCAUUGAUGUUUUUCUACAUCUUUAGCAGCGUACAAAACCUGAGAAAACCCUACUCAAUUCAGUUAAUCUAUGCUUCACGAUCGCAAAUACUUAGAACUGCCAUUCUACAGUUUGAUGACAUGUUUAUUAAACUGGUUCCAUUCAAUUUAGUUAUCGACAGUUCAGCAAAUAGUACAGGGAUUCUGCAUUUAAUUUGCCGUUUGAUGUUCUGACAGUACCUUAUUAACGUGACAUGAUUGAUUGCAUCACCACUUCUGGAUAGAUAUGGGUUGUGGAACCACAGGAUAAACCAGAAAAGUUGGUCCCAAAUCAGACAGUUAGCAAAAUUUGAGAAAAUAAAGAUGGUCCGGAAGGAAUUCUAUGUUUGUGUUUAUCGGACGAUGGGAAUUCAAUAUUUCUUGCAACCAAUUCCAGCUUUGGAUCGUAUACGUUCCGAGUGGACGACUCGUUAUGACCGGAAACAAAAGUUGAAAUUUCUACAACCACUUCAAGUUGGAAAACUUCUAAUGCACCGUCGGCAUUAAUCACUCUGCAUCAAAACUGCGAUUUUACGCAAAUCUCUCUGAAUUUGGCCAACCUGCUAUAGGCGAUGAGGAGUUGUGGCAGCUGAACUAAAGUUAUCUCCGAUAUCGAGGCAAGACAUUCGAUGGGUUUUAACAAGGUUACCUCUAGGAUUUGGUAAUUAUUGUAAAUGGAUUGAAAUGUAAAUUUGAAAAAACAUAAUUACGUAAACAACAGUGAAAAACCAUCACUGGAAA